rnacentral:lncRNA from 1 species
GGUAACAAUUCCCUUGACUUCCUUAGUGAUCAAAUCCAAAUAAAUAAGCCACUACUUUCAAUGAGACAUAAAAGUCUAAUCUAGUCUAGCAGAUUAAAUACCUCACAUCUAGAGGAACAUCCUCAGAUUCUCAGAUGAACCCUUUUAAUAGUUGCUUUUAAGACCAGCUUAAUGUAUUUUCCCAAAUCUGAAUUUUCUCCAAAAUAAUAAAAGUUGUAUCAGUUAUCAUUUUUGCUAAAAGCUGUUAUUUUUAGAACAACUCAUCAGGGUCCCACUAUCAAUUCAGACUACACAUAACUGGCUGGAGUUAAAAUCUUCUCCUUAAGCAUCAGAAUUGUUUUCAGAUAUGAUAGCCAAAGCCACAUAUGGUUAUCAAACACUUGAAAUGGAGCUAGUCCAAAUCAAGAUGUGCUGCCCUGGAAAUGCAACAGUGAGACCAAUGUGUUUCCUCCCCUCAUCUUGCUUGCAACCUACCAAACCAAGUCCCAGUGGAACAAAUGCCAUAAUUAGCCCUCAGAAGAAAGGCCAGAGAUUGACUGCGAGGUCCCUCCAGUCAUGCCUUGAGGCCCUUGCUAGACUGGGACGCUCACACUGUUGCUCUCUGCUUUGUAGCUGUUUGUGCAAGAACAAAAGGACUUCAGUCUCCGUUGCUAUUAAUCCAACUUCACAAGCAUGAAAUUUACAGACACACACAAGAAUUCAUCAUUGAAACCUUUUCCCCUUGUCAUGUUCAGCUGCUGAAAAGUGGGCAUACUCUUGGAUAUGAAUGUUAAUAAAAAGGAAAAAAAAUGGACA